UGGAAGUAGGGUGCUGUGGGGUGGUUAAGGUUCUCUCUCAAAUGUUUUGUUCUGGGGUGGAGUUCCUCAUCUCAAGGACGGUCACAGGUGGAGUGCACUACGCGAACAGGAUCUGUAGAUGCAAGCUUCACAUCUUGGGAAAAGUCUGCCUCAGGUCUGCAUCCCUCUUCCAGUAACUAACUGGAAAACUUAAAAGAAAGCUGGAGUGAUGAGCUCAUGUGACUGUCAGCACCAUGGUCCCAAGCACAGGCCUAUCUUGCUUUUAUGAGGCAAAGCUGGACUGAAGCAACAACAACAAAAACAAAGCACAAGAAUGCUUUAAUUUUCCCCGAGGCCCUGGAUUGCGUAGGCUAUAUUAGACAGUGUUGUUACUCGUUAACUUCUACAACAGCUCUGUACUUAUAGUUGAAAGCAGUUUCUAACCUACUGGAGCUGACUUAUUUUUCUGGGGACAAAUUUGGUUGUCCACCCAACUCCAGCUAAAUCUAAUUGCCCUCUAGCAGCAAUGGAUGAAUGCGUUCUAUCUCCAUUGCUCAGCUGCCACCGUUUACAACUUCAUAUGUUGAUGCAAAUAAAAGAUGGCAGUGGUUCAUACCUAACACUCCAGGCUGUGAAACUGUAUGGGAUAAGGGGCAGAUAAAAUCCUUGUUACGGGCAUUUUUCUACAAAGUUGGUAACUUCUGGCUGAAGGGCAAGGUGUUUGACUGGUGGUAGCAAAAACUGCAUUUGCCCCUGCUAGUGCUCUGACUUGGGAUA